rnacentral:tRNA from 1 species
GCAGUAGUAGUUUAAUGGUAAAACAGAUGCUUGCCAAGCAUCAAUUAGCAGUUCAAUUCUGCUCUAUUGCUCCA